rnacentral:rRNA from 1 species
UUAGCUUGCUAAGGCUGAUGGCGACCGGCGCACGGGUGAGUAACACGUAUCCAACCUGCCGUCUACUCUUGGCCAGCCUUCUGAAAGGAAGAUUAAUCCAGGAUGGGAUCAUGAGUUCACAUGUCCGCAUGAUUAAAGGUAUUUUCCGGUAGACGAUGGGGAUGCGUUCCAUUAGAUAGUAGGCGGGGUAACGGCCCACCUAGUCAACGAUGGAUAGGGGUUCUGAGAGGAAGGUCCCCCACAUUGGAACUGAGACACGGUCCAAACUCCUACGGGAGGCAGCAGUGAGGAAUAUUGGUCAAUGGGCGAUGGCCUGAACCAGCCAAGUAGCGUGAAGGAUGACUGCCCUAUGGGUUGUAAACUUCUUUUAUAAAGGAAUAAAGUCGGGUAUGCAUACCCGUUUGCAUGUACUUUAUGAAUAAGGAUCGGCUAACUCCGUGCCAGCAGCCGCGGUAAUACGGAGGAUCCGAGCGUUAUCCGGAUUUAUUGGGUUUAAAGGGAGCGUAGAUGGAUGUUUAAGUCAGUUGUGAAAGUUUGCGGCUCAACCGUAAAAUUGCAGUUGAUACUGGAUGUCUUGAGUGCAGUUGAGGCAGGCGGAAUUCGUGGUGUAGCGGUGAAAUGCUUAGAUAUCACGAAGAACUCCGAUUGCGAAGGCAGCCUGCUAAGCUGCAACUGACAU